CCUUCCUAUCCCUACCUUUCUUCUCUCAUUGUCUUCCUUAAUUCUCUUCCUAGAUUUAUCCUAAAAUCGAACUUGUCCUUACUAUUUUAAGACUUGUCAUAAUAAGAAAAAGAAGUGACUAAUUGGAUAAUAGGGAGAGCGUAUAAGAAAGAAAAGAUAAGAGCAAUUUUCUGAAUGAAUUAAAUCUCCGAUGCAGCCCCCUUUAAAUAGUUAGCGACGGCUUGCCUUCGAGAAUGAUUCACGCCCCCUCCACGUGCCAUCUCUCAUCCAUCAGAAAAUCUCACACCCAUGGAUGAAUUCUUACACCCAUAUAAAAGAUUUUGACACAUAGCAAUCAUUGAAAAAAAAUUCAAGAGAUGCUUCGCACAGGAGUCUUCGGAACAUCUUUCUCGAUGAUUCUCUGAUGCAUCACGCAGCUUCCCAUGGCAUAAUUUUUCUCCACCAGCUAUCAGUGACUUUUGUCCAUCCAUUAGCUUAAAAUUUAGGUGCUAACUUGCUGAUGGCAUGAAAAAAAUCUAAAAAUAAGAUGAGACGUGACACAUAGAUUAGAGUCCUUUAUAAGUUAGACUCUUGGUCAGGCACAU
rnacentral:lncRNA from 1 species